CAAAGUGUAGCUUAACUAAAGCAUCUGGCUUACACCCAGAAGAUUUCAUUAUUCAUGACCACUUUGA
rnacentral:tRNA from 2 species